rnacentral:rRNA from 1 species
GUGAGUAACACGUGGGCAACCUACCUCAUAGUGGGGGAUAACAGUCGGAAACGACUGCUAAUACCGCAUAGGACAUGGGAUCACAUGAUUCUGUGAGGAAAGGUGGCGCAAGCUAUCGCUAAGAGAUGGACCCGCGGUGCAUUAGCUAGUUGGUAGGGUAAGGGCCUACCAAGGCAAUGAUGCAUAGCCGACCUGAGAGGGUGAUCGGCCACAUUGGGACUGAGACACGGCCCAAACUCCUACGGGAGGCAGCAGUAGGGAAUCUUCCGCAAUGGACGCAAGUCUGACGGAGCAACGCCGCGUGAGUGAAGAAGGUCUUCGGAUCGUAAAGCUCUGUUGUUAGAGAAGAACAGCGCAUAGAGUAACUGUUAUGCGUGUGACGGUAUCUAACCAGAAAGCCACGGCUAACUACGUGCCAGCAGCCGCGGUAAUACGUAGGUGGCGAGCGUUGUCCGGAUUUAUUGGGCGUAAAGGGAGUGUAGGCGGUCUUUUAAGUCUGAUGUGAAAGCCCACGGCUCAACCGUGGAGGGUCAUUGGAAACUGGGAGACUUGAGUGCAGAAGAGGAGAGCGGAAUUCCAUGUGUAGCGGUGAAAUGCGUAGAUAUAUGGAGGAACACCAGUGGCGAAGGCGGCUCUCUGGU